rnacentral:lncRNA from 1 species
CUUCCCUAAUUUCUUGCUAUGAAGGAUUGGAUACUUAUCACACUAAAAAAAUUAUGCUGAAAUGUAAUCCUUAAGGGGCAUUUUAAUUUCUCAUUUUUUAUUUCAAAACUGCCAAACAGAAAUGCGAAUUUCAGAUAUUUAAAGCCAGCCCAUAGUGAAUACAGUGCUACAUCAAGAGGAAAACGGCCGGGCGCGGUUGCUCACGCCUGUAAUCCCAACACUUUGGGAGGCCGAGGCGGGGGGAUCACCUGAGGUUGAGAGUUCGAGACUAGCCUGGCUAACAUAGUGAAACCCCAUCUCUACUAAAAAUACAAAAAUUAGCCAGGUGUGGUGGCACACGCCUGUAAUCCCAGCUA